GACGAACGCUGGCGGCGUGCCUAAUACAUGCAAGUAGAACGCUGAAGGAGGAGCUUGCUUCUCCGGAUGAGUUGCGAACGGGUGAGUAACGCGUAGGUAACCUGCCUGGUAGCGGGGGAUAACUAUUGGAAACGAUAGCUAAUACCGCAUAACAGUAGAUGUUGCAUGACAUUUGCUUAAAAGGUGCAAUUGCAUCACUACCAGAUGGACCUGCGUUGUAUUAGCUAGUUGGUGAGGUAACGGCUCACCAAGGCGACGAUACAUAGCCGACCUGAGAGGGUGAUCGGCCACACUGGGACUGAGACACGGCCCAGACUCCUACGGGAGGCAGCAGUAGGGAAUCUUCGGCAAUGGGCGGAAGUCUGACCGAGCAACGCCGCGUGAGUGAAGAAGGUUUUCGGAUCGUAAAGCUCUGUUGUAAGAGAAGAACGAGUGUGAGAGUGGAAAGUUCACACUGUGACGGUAUCUUACCAGAAAGGGACGGCUAACUACGUG
rnacentral:rRNA from 1 species